rnacentral:rRNA from 1 species
UACGGAGGGGGCAAGCGUUAUUCGGAAUCAUUGGGCGUAAAGGGCGCGUAGGCGGCUUGGCAAGUCAAAGGUGAAAUCCCUGGGCUCAACCCAGGAACUGCGUCCGAUACUGGAAGGCUUGAAUCCGGGAGAGGGAUGCGGAAUUCCAGGUGUAGCGGUGAAAUGCGUAGAUAUCUGGAGGAACACCGGUGGCGAAGGCGGCAUCCUGGACCGGUAUUGACGCUGAGGCGCGAAAGCCAGGGGAGCAAACGGG